AUUAGAUACCCUGGUAGUCCACGCAGUAAACGAUGAAUACUAAUUGUUCGGUUCGAAUGAGAGCUGAGUGAUACAGCGAAAGCGUUAAGUAUUCCACCUGGGGAGUACGCCGGCAACGGUGAAACUCAAAGGAAUUGACGGGGGCCCGCACAAGCGGAGGAACAUGUGGUUUAAUUCGAUGAUACGCGAGGAACCUUACCCGGGCUCAAACGACACAGGAAUAAUUUUGAAAGGAGUUAGCCCUACGGGGCCUGUGUCGAGGUGCUGCAUGGUUGUCGUCAGCUCGUGCCGUGAGGUGUCGGCUUAAGUGCCAUAACGAGCGCAACCCCUAUCGUCAGUUGCCAUCAGGUGAAGCUGGGGACUCUGACGAGACUGCCGGCGCAAGCUGUGAGGAAGGCGGGGAUGACGUCAAAUCAGCACGGCCCUUACGUCCGGGGCGACACACGUGUUACAAUGGCAGGUACAGAGAGAAGCCAUGUGGCGACACCGAGCGGAACUUUAAAGCCUGUCUCAGUUCGGAUCGGAGUCUGCAACCCGACUCCGUGAAGCUGGAUUCGCUAGUAAUCGCGCAUCAGCCAUGGCGCGGUGAAUACGUUCCCGGGCCUUGUACACACCGCCCGUCAAGCCAUGGAAGCCGGGAGUGCCUGAAGUGUGCAACCGCAAGGAGCGCCCUAAGGUAAAACCGGUGACUGGGGCUAAGUCGUAACAAGGUACC
rnacentral:rRNA from 1 species